UCGCUUGGUCGCGCACGAAAAUGGUGUUUUCUAGACACGGUAGCGAAACGUUCACAUCCCCUUCCUCACACGCUCGCCCACAUCCCUCCCUCUGUGACGCACGCUCGCCCGCAUCGCCGGUGCCGCCUCUCCCCAAGCUUCUCCCUCGCCCUCUCUCGCCCGCGCCGCCCCUCCCCGAGCUUCUCCCUCGUCCGCGUCGUCAGUGCUCUCUCCCUCGCGCGCACCGCCGGCGCUCUACAGUACCAACUCCAUCGUUAAAAAUGCGAUUUUUCCUCCUCCGGCUCUCCAAUCUGCAGUGGCGGUGCUCGAUCUGUGGCGUGGGCUAUCAAGACGGCGCGACGGAGCUGCUGCUGCCGGUUGCCUGCCCGGAGCUGCUGCCGCUGGUCGUCCGCCCGGAUCUGCUGCUUCAGGCGAUGCCCACAUUGCCGUCACCCUCCCGCUCCUCUUCCUCCUCCUCGUCAGUUACUUCACCACCUCAGCAUCAACGACGGGGGUGCUGGGAGGGGGAGGGGCGGAUGGACCCUUCUUCGAGCCGUACAACCAUCGCAGAGCAGAGCAGGAAGCUUGUCUCCGAGAGCACCAGAUUCGCAAGCAUGAUGGAUGGAGGGAUCUCUCAAAUGGUGCGGCUCCUUGUACUACAACGACAGUGACAUGCCGGCCUCCCACACACGCAUAGCAUGCACUGAUUGACACCUCAGUAAUCAAAUGCAGGGGAGUAGCUAGCUUUGCUUGUAUGUGUGUGUACUAAGAUGAGGCAGUUUUCAAAUUAAGUGUCUUCUGAAAGCAACAAAUAUGAUGAUGAUACAGUACAAACUUGUAAGUCACAUCAAACUCUGCUUCUGCAAAAAAAACAACAACUCUACGUCUGUUUUGGAGAAGAAAAAGUGAAGGAGAAAGACUGUGUGUGUGUGGAUGAAAAUCAAGCAAAGACAAAUGAUGUCUAGGCCACUUUAGUGUUCACCACUUGAUCCUCUCCACCUAAUUUGCCUUGCAGAUUAACAGAUGUGGUGCAGAUGUGGUGGAGUAUAUCUUCUGGAAUGGGUAUGAACCGGCCAAAGUUCAGCCACGUCCUUCUUAUCAGUUCUCUUGAACUUGCCUCCUCUACUCUUAUGGAGGGUUUCCAAGGACAUGUAAGCAGCAUAUCUCUGCGCAUCAGUUCUUCGUUGCCUUCUUCAGGUGGAGUGAAAUUGAGAUCUGGGACUACCAUGCUUGAAAUUGGGCCAACGAUUUGCUGCUGUUGAUGUUGAGGACCUGCUUCUUGCUUGCUAUUGAAGAUCUGCUAGUGUUGCUGGUGAGGAGCUGGACCAUCAAGGUGCUGGACGAGGAGCUGGGCCGGCUUUCGGCGAGAAGCCAACAAGUAUCACCGAGCCUGGAGGUUGUAGAGUACGCAGAUCCUGGGCAAGGAGCAGCAAGGUGCUGGGCGAGGAUUUAGGCCGGCUUCCGAUCUAAACUUCUCCUGGCCUUCUCCCCUGGCUCAGGCUAGCUGCACCUUGCCGACGACGCGGGGAUGAAGGGAGGCAGUGCCGGCGAGGUGCGCAGGGGCUGGUGGCCGGCGGCCGGCGAGGUGUGCUCCUGGGUCGGCGGCGACCAGGAAUCUGGGCGGCGAUGAGGAGGAGAUCCUGGGCGGCGAUGAGCGGGAGAUCCUGGGCGGAGAAGUUGGGCGCCAGGUGAGCAGCGAGGAGAUCUUGGGCGCGAGGUGGGCAGCGACGCGUUGGGCGAGGAGAAGCCGGGCACGAGGUGGUCGAUGACGCGCUGGGCGAGGAGAAGCAGGGCGCGAGGUGGGCGACGACGCGCUGGGCGAGGCGAUUUCGAUAUUUUUUGAAUUUCAAAUUGAUCGAUUGAAAGGGGUAUAGUUGUCCAUUACCGAUUUUUUGGGGCUGUCGGAAAUUUUCUUCCGUGCCUUACAAAAGUGAACGGAGGGAGUAAUAAAUUUCAAUUCAUGUGA